UCUCAGGACAGACAGAAAAAUGUCAAAUGGCUCUUUUCAAUAUUGCUGAACUCUUCAUCUCCGAAAAUAAUUACGGCAAGGCCCUGCAGUUCAUUCAGGCUGAGAAGAUGUUCUACGAGGUUUCUCUAAUUGAGCUCACUGCUGUUCAGGGGAGCACAGGCCCCCAGAAGGAGGCUUUGCUGGGCUCGUCUGGGACAGGAUGGGCAUCCCCAGAGGAGCUAUCGGAUCAGGCCUCCCAGGCACAGCAUUUUGAGCGGCUGGCCCAGCUUUGCAUCAUGAGUAAAAGACCUCAUCUCGCUUUAGAGUACAGUGGGAAAGCCACUAAGAUCCAUCAGAGGGCCUUUGGCAGCGACCACCCCGUCACAGACAAGAGUCUGGAGCUGCUGGCCACCGUCUACGCAGAAAUUGGCAAAACAGAAUACUCAGAUUCCCUAGGCCAGUGUGUGUCAGCGCUUUCCAAGAGGUUUGCUACUGCCGAGUCCUUCAGAGACACACUCAACAACGGUCUUUCCCAUUCCCAUUCCCACCGGGAUAAACGCUCUGAGGUCCGGCACAGGAAAGACCCCCGCCCACUGUUGGACACACCAAAACCCAAGGUCACCAACGGUAAAAUCCCCAUGUCCAUACUGAAGAGAUCUGGCUCAGGAUCAGACUCAGAGCCCAGCCACAGACGGAAAGGCGAGCGGCGGGUCCGGUUCAGGGAGCCUGAAACCACUGUGCAUGCCUAUGACACAUCACCGCCCAGCCCCCACCUGGCCCUGUUCACUUGCCUGUUCCUGCUGAUGUCACUGCUGGGCGUGGCCAUGUUCUGCACGGACCGCCGGCGCCCACAGCGUGUCUGUGAGGAGCUGGAGGCCUCGCUGGCUGUCUACCUGAUACACAUAAAACAGCUGCUGUGGGGCUGCUGGAUCUGGCUAACCAUGCAGUGA
rnacentral:lncRNA from 13 species